GACGAACGCUGGCGGCGUGCUUAACACAUGCAAGUCGAACGAUGAAACCUAGCUUGCUAGGUCGAUUAGUAGCGAACGGGUGAGUAACACGUGACUAACCUGCCCCUUUCUCUGGGAUAACGCUCCGAAAGGAGUGCUAAUACCGGAUACUCACAUCGAGGCACAUGCCUUGGUGUGGAAAGUUUUUCGGAAAGGGAUGGAGUCGCGGCCUAUCAGCUUGUUGGUGAGGUAACGGCUCACCAAGGCGACGACGGGUAGCCGGCCUGAGAGGGCGACCGGCCACACUGGGACUGAGACACGGCCCAGACUCCUACGGGAGGCAGCAGUGGGGGAUAUUGCACAAUGGGCGCAAGCCUGAUGCAGCGACGCCGCGUGAGGGAUGAAGGUCUUCGGAUUGUAAACCUCUUUCAGUAGGGACGAAGCGAAAGUGACGGUACCUAAAGAAGAAGCACCGGCUAACUACGUGCCAGCAGCCGCAGUAA
rnacentral:rRNA from 1 species